CAUACUAUGCAUGCUAUAUGAAUUUGAGACUGCAUUCUGCUGCAGAGAGUCAGUAGUUCCAUGGAAUAGUUUUCUAAUUAUUUUCAUUCAUCUUUGCUUGGAAAAACUUAGCUCAAAUCAGGCAGCAAGGUGAAUAACAUCCUGUCUGGAGUUCUUAUUGGUCAUGUAUUGGAAAAAAGAAGAAAGGCGUUUCCUUAAGGUUCAACUCUAUGGCUAGGGCAAAUAAUUGGAGUAAGUCUUUUACAGAUGUUAGCUUUUGUCUGUUAAACAGAUGUGGCUAAAUUGAAGUGCAAUAGAAUAUUAUCUAUUUUAUUCUGUUGAUGAAGGAAUGGUAAGAGAAGAAUCCAAGCAAACCUGAAGAAGUCUUCUUUAGUGUAUGUGUUGUUUGAUCAGGGCCUGAUCAAACUAUUUGCCCAUUAUUUUUUUAUGUCAGAAAAUAGGAACACCUUUUACUAUAUUGCUACUUAUCUUUAUGUCAUUCAGCAUAAAAGGGCUUGCAUUUUGUAAGCAGCUCAAUAUGCUGGAGAUUUAUCUGGUAACAUCUGGCAGUAUUAAUUAGUUCAGCAGAUAGACUUGGUAUAUUGUAGAGUUAAUGUAUUACUGUAACACCUGAAUCCCACCUGAAGUUGAGAUUCUGAUUUGAUACACAUUUGAUAUAUUAAGAUAUGUUAUUGUUUGCUGUGUUUACACAUUUAUUACAGAGUAAGAAAAAUGCUGGAAGGAUAGAAUAGAUAUAGGCUAACAAAAUGAUUUUACCUGGAUUACUUUGUGGCUUUGCAGUUUACUGUGACCCUAGUGGCUAAUGCAUCAUAGGAGUCUCCAUCUUGGACCUUCAACACCAUGAAGUAUUGUUUUCCAAUUUCAUUGUUUCGUAUCAGUUAACUGAAAAAUAACUUCUACCAGGACAAAUUAUCCAUUGAUUAAAACAUUUUCACUGACUUCAGUAGCAUAAAAGCAGAAUCACUUGAGAGCAAAAUUUUGAAUGACUUUGUAUUCACAUUCUUUGUUUUGCUUGUAAUGAAACUGUUGCUUGAAAUGAUCAGAACAUUUGAAAGUGAGCAAUGGGUCCAGUUCAAACAUAGUUGGUUCAAAUAUACAGCAACAAAAAUUGCGAAUACUGCAAAUAUAGAAAACUAAGUUGUCUUCUUUUCUGUGCUAGCUGAGAUCAGACUUCUCAACUGUGGUGUUCUGCAGCAGAUCAUAGUAUUAGUAGUAUCUGUGGCAGCUUAAAAAUUUCAGGUUCUUGCUCUCUCCUUGUUGUAUGUCAGCAAUGGUUGCAAGGUGAAUCAAGAACACUGGAGUUCUCCCCUGAGUAGACUUUUUCAAGAAAUAGUUUUUUAAAAAAAACAAACCUCCAAAACAUUAAUAUUUAAAGUACUCCAUGUUAGUGAGGAGCUUUUCAGCUUUCUUUGCCUGUUUGCCAUCUGGUUUUCUUCUAAUAUGAUUGUUUUUUCAUGAAUGAGAUUGGUAGCAGUAGAAGCUCUUACAGGUGAUAGGAAGAUCUUGUGUGCUGACCUAGUAUGUGUAUUUCCAUGAUAGAAAAUCACACUUCUUGAUAGCCCUCCAACAUGUAGUAUCCUACUUUCAGUCUGAUAUACCAGGCAAUUAGAGUUGUAUUUCCACAACCCCUGAGAAAAUAGGAUAUGUAGUAAAAGAGACUUUAAAAAAAGAGAGAAGUAAAAAGUAUAAGUAACCCUUCUCCCCAUGAGUGCCCACGCUAGAGGGAGUAGUGUGAGUUUUCUACAAAUACAUGGAGAGAUGAGUAGUGAAUCUUCUAAUUUGGACAGAAUCUGCAGUUAUGCUUGGUAUGUUAUUAGAAACCCAUAUUUUUGAUAUAACAUACACUUUGAGAUUUUGGUGUAGUAGCUUGAGUUUCCAUAUGUAGUUUUAACAAGAUGCAAAUCAAGUAGAAAUUAUACGUUAUUGGUUCUAGGUCUCUCUCUUUUUUUUUUCUUUUCCAUGGUUUAUUGCUUGUAGGCUUGAAAUCAAAGUAGGUGAAUACAUGUGAUGAUUACUGUUAUUUUCAAAAGUUCAGUGGAAAGUAGCUGAAGAUAUUCAGAACACUAGGGAAUGGGUGACUCUGGACUUCUGCAAUUAGUUUAAACAUGUAAGCAAAAUGGUUACAUGUCAUUGUUAGCUUAGCAUUGAUUCUAGGUAAAAUAAAAGAGUUUUGUUUGUCUUUUAAUUUUGUAUGGCUGUCUGUGAUGCAGGCCAUUGGAAACAGUUUUAUUGAAAAAUCAGUACUGUCAAACAAAUAUACAGUCAUUUUUCUGGAGACUGUAAACUAGGUUGAUUUAUUAAAUUAUAAACAGAUUCAGGAUAGUAUUUUUACAGUGAGUAGCACAAUCAGACUUAGCCCAUGUAAUGGUAAAGCUAGUAGUAGUAUGACAGGCACAGCUUGGAUGGUCUAAUAUACUUACAAAAGGUGCCUGGAUUGCUACUCUCUUGCAGCAGUUUAAGAGAUGAAUAGCACUGUAUAAAAUCAAUAUAAGUUCUAUUACAUAUAUUAAACUUGUUAAAUGUAAGGUUAUAAAAAAAAAAAACCUGUUACUAGAAGUUGGUCAUCCUAUUGGGAAUAUUUCUAGUUCAUUUUGUGGGUCUGUUUUUGAUUCAGUGCUGUCAAAAUCUGUAGGCUCUGAAAGUGAUGCCUUCUAUUUAUUUGCUACAGCAGAUACAAGAACAUAAUAACACUGAUAGAGCAAACUCUCAGCUACAAAAUACUGUUUUUCAGUAUAGUCAGCACCAUUAGCUGUGCAUUUUUGCCAGCAGUGAACAAGCGCACACAUGCUGUGCUCAUCAAAAUCUGUACCAGCAGAGGUGACUCACUGUUUCACAGCUGCUCUGACAGUUCCAUUGUUAGAAAAAUGUUGCCUGUGCAGUCCAUAUUUCAUCAGCCCAAACAGAUGGAAGUCAGAAGGCAUCAAGUCUGGACUGUGAUGUGGGUGUGGUAGAACAGCCCAGUAAAAACUGGCAGUAUGUUCCAUGAUAUUCAAACUGGUAUAGGGCCUGCAUUACUGUAUUGCAAGAGAAAGGAUGUCUUCUCUGGCCUGACUCUGGAAGUUGGGGCUUUCAGCUUAGUCAGUGUUGUGAUGCAGCGUUCAGAGCUGGUGGUUUGUCCAGGUUCCAGUCUGGAAGCACCAUCCCUUUCCUGUCCCAAAGGCAGUGAACACCACUUUACCCACUGAGGACUGCAUCCUGAACUUUUUCUUUGUUGGGGAAUUCACACAUCUCCACUCCACGGGCUGCUGUUUUGAUUCUAGCUCAUGGUGGUGACACCACAUCUCAUCACUGGUAGUAAUGUGAUCCAGGAAACUGUCACCUUCAGAUUCAUAUUGGUUCUGCAGAUCCUGACAAACUUACAAACAGUGUUCAUUCUUUUCCUGUCUGAGCAUUUGUUGGCCUAGUGCAAACUUUGUGAUAUUUCAAUGUUGCCAUCGUUAUUUACCGUGCAUUGAAGCCAAUAUUCACCUCUGUACACAGUCCUGUUUGUAAUCUCCAGAUUUAAAUGGAUGGGUUGAUCCAGAUGCUUUUCAUUUUGUGAUGUGACAUUUGUGCGUGGCCAUUUGAAAUGUGGCUUGUCUUCCACAUCCCUUUUGCCACAGCUUAAACAUAUGACCCACUGCCUCACUCACACUCACUGUUUCCCCGUAAGUGUUCAGCAAGUGUCUAUGAAUGUCAGCGGGUACCUUUUGUUUUUUUUUUUUUCCUGCAUGGAGGAAUUCAGUGACAUACUUUUGCUUUAUCUGUACUUCCAUGUCAGAUGCUAUUAUGUCAUACUGCCCUUCUGCUGCCACCUGUUGCAUGGCAACAACAUGUAAUGGAAUAUUAGUGAGAAGACUAUCUCUUCUGCUGGUACCAUCAACAUCCACCUCUGGCAUUGUGGGCCAACAUAAUAAAAUAGGAGGCAUAACUUUUGGAGCACUUCUAUUUGUCAGUGGUCUGGAAAUAAGUACAAAAUCAGUGCUGAUAGCUGUCUUUUGUGUAUGAGGUGUAGAAUUAUGUCAUAGGAAGCAACGAUGCUGAAAAAUGUUCUGGUUGCUCUGGCAGAAUUUGAUGCGUGUUCCUGUAUACAGUGCUUGAAACUAUGAAAUGGAAUGUAGUGCAUGCACCCAGGAGCAAGAAUAAAUUGGAUGAAAUGUUCUAUCACAUUACAUAAUAAUACUUGCAGUUAACAACAAUGUUGAGAAAUAUUUAAAAGAGUCCAAGAUUCUGAGGAGAGCUGUGAAGCUAGAGAAGGAAACAAUGGUUUUGCUUCUUGGUGAAUAGGAAAGUGGAUUGUGAAUUUGUGAUAAAUGCAUGGACAGCCCUUCUGUAUGUGGUGUAUGGUUAGAAGUGAUCACAAAAUCAGAUUUAAUCUAAACUAAAGUGUUCCAAUUAAAAGCUUUUUUUAAAAAAAGAACUUUCAAAAGCAUGCAUGCACUUUAAAAACAAACAAACAAACAAAAAAAUGACCAACAACACAAAAUGCAUAAAUAAAUACAUAAAAUGUUGAAAUCGGCUUUUCACUGGAAAAUGUACACCCACAAUUUCACUGUACACUCACAAUUUUGAGGAUCUAGAAAACGUGCAUAUAAAUAUGGAUUAUAAAUUAGAAAUAAAUUGAACUGCACAUAUGGUUGUACAUAUAUAUAUAUGAUCUGUGUAAUCUGAACAUGUGCUGCAAAUGAACAAUCUUGAAAUGAGGACCAUGAACUUAGAGCAAGUCAGGACAGAAUUUUCAAGGUAAUGAUUAUUACAGUCUGUGAAGAAACAAAAAGUGGAUCCUUUUUGAGGUGAUGAGGUUUACCUUGAUGAGUAAGUCAAAAACAUUUCUAAAUUAAAUGUGUCAUUUUGCUCAUAAA